UUGAAUUAAGUACUUAUGAUCUAACACUUGAUUUCUGUUGUAAGGUCCAGACGUUUCAUCUGCUGAUCUUCUUGACUGAUGACAACUUUCUAUAUUUGCUCCUCUUCUGUCUGGAAUCAUAAUUGAUUUAAGUGUAUUUUGCAAAAGAUUUACUCAAUAAAUGAAAGAUUAAUGGCUGUAAGACCAUGGAGCCAAAGGUUGGAAGAGAUACCUGUAUUUAGUCUUUCGUAAAGCUGAAAAUAGCAUCGCUUAUUUACAGGUCUGGAAACCGAAGCCAUUUCACGAUCCAUAUUGA